CCAAACUUGGUCAUUUAGAGGAAGUAAAUGUCGUAACAAGGUUUCCGUAGGUAAGUAAACUCGAUUCCACGGCACCUCGACGUUUGAACGGUGGCUAACGAUUUCUUAGGUGAACCUGCGGAAGGAUCAUUAGUGAUUGGUCGAAAGACCUUAUCCCAUCCUCACACCUGUGCACUGUGGGCUUCGGCCCUACAAACGUAGUGUAUCGAACGUAUGCAUUUUAACAAACAAAACUUUCAACAACGGAUCUCUUGGCUCUCGCAUCGAUGAAGAACGCAGC
rnacentral:misc_RNA from 1 species